CGUUAAAUGAAGAAAUACCAUCCUUGCUCUGCGAUGGCCGUCAAACAUACACUUGAGAAUUCUGUGUGAGGGUACUGUAGCAUCGGGUUACUGUACACCAAUCCAGACGAUUCUCAGGUGGUUUGACGCCGGUGAACAGCUAUGGCCUCUGAUAACG
rfam:Caenorhabditis briggsae complete genome, chrI